CUUGAAGAGCUCUGGGCUGUUAAUACUGUGAUGAGCUGGCUAUUAUUCAUGCAGAUGUAGAACACUCACUAGAAAUAAAUCUCAAGAUUGAAUUCAGCUUAGAAAACAUUAUUCUAUGAAGAUACUGAAUAAGAUUCAACUGCACCUAAAAGCUGGAAGCUCUUCAGGGCAUUUGUAAUCUGUCUUCAAGCCUUAGUGAACACAGAGGGAAUCUGUACCACUGCUGAAGUCCCUUGGUCCUACCACAAUAAAAGCAAGAGUGAUUGUGAGCCUGAUGUGUUCUCAUGAAAACGAGAAUAUUCAUUUCUCAAGUACCCUGCCUGGGACUUAAAGAAUGCUUUGAAAUCAGUGAUGUUACUUCAACAGAAGACCUUGCACAUCUGUUUCUGGGUCUCUCUUUGGAAGCACUGGAAAGGAAAAGCUUGAAAGAAAGCACUCUUUCACAGGCCCUUGUUCCAUCGUGCCGUGCUGUUUGCACACAGACUGCUGGUGGCUGCGCAACACAGGAGUGUGGGGCUGGGAAAGGAUCGGGAGUGCUGAGUGUGCAGUCUGCACCCAGCAUCACACCACAGCUUCCCCCAGACGGCACACUGCUGCGCGUGGAGCAGAAAUCUGCCUCUGUUUCCUAUUUUAUAGAAACUGAAAUGACCGCAGUGGAUCUGUCCCUAGCUGCUAUCCAGCAGGCCCUGCUUUAAUUUUAGAAUAUGUUUGGGACUUUCCCUUCUGAGGGUCUUCAGACCUGAUUUUCUGGGUGAGUAUUAGUAAUAAUGGUCCAAAAAAAGCCAAAAAGAAAUAUAUGAAACAUUCUAUUAAGUUUGAAAUGAAAUUCUGAAUAAGAUGUGUGUGUUCUUCACAGAAUAUUUACUUUGUAAUACAACCAUUGAUAAUAAAAAAAAAAAACUGCAGUAGUUUUCAGUAUACUUAGAUUGUCUGUUUUCUUCCUUUAUUUUCCUAAUUUUUGCAAUAUUUUUCCUAGUUUCAAAGGAAAGGGUUGAAACUGUAGAGCUCUGGGAGUUGUCCCAUUUGCCACAUGUUGUGUAUGUGUGCAUUUUAUAUAUAUAUAUAUAGACAUUGGGGCUUAGCCUAGGUAGUGACAAGAAUGCAUCCAGUGCUGGUAGACUUGAGAAACAAUAAAAUAAUGUCCUACUCCAUAAAUCCACCACUCCAGACUUCGAAUCACCCGUCUUGGCCAGAAAUCACUGUGGGAAAAGAAGAGGGAGAUGGGGGAGGAUGGAAGAUGAUAUUCAUCCAUCUGUGCUCUCCUUUAGCAUACUCGACCUUCCCACAGCUUUGGAGUGUGCUCUGAGAGGCCAAAAGUCUUCUGGCCUGAAUUCUCCUCCUCUUAAUUUUAACCUGCCAAAUAAUCUAAACUAGAAAUAUGCUUGCCUUAGGCUUUCUAUGGAGUCAAUGGAGAGAGAAAAGCAUCUCCAGAAGAUGACUCAGAUAUUCCACAGGCUCUGGUACUUGGCAAGGCCAGAUGUGCUCCUCCCAGCUGGACAGCAGCAGGGAGCCAGGGAAGCCCCAGAAGCCCCAGCUGUGAGUGACAGCACAUCAGGGAGCUCCUAGACAGGUGCGAGGGGCUCUCCUGCAUGCAUUGCAGUCACGAUCACAGGCUACACAGAAACACACCAAAAGGAAAGCAUCGGAAAGAAGCACUCCUAUCAGCCCUUGUACAAGAGAGCCAUUUUCUCUCUGCCUUUACCUUUGCCUCAAAGAGUGACUUGGAACUAAGUGCUGCUGCUCAUGUGUAAACAGAAAUGGGAAACAUGCAUCCUCAACUGAAAGUGAAAUGUGCUCUUCAUUGUAUUUUCUAAUUUCUUCCUCUAAGCAAGGAAGAAUUUCUUAUUUUUAUCCCACUUGAUCCUGACUGCAGCAUUCAGCUGCUGUGUUGCUAUCAACAGCACAGUCCUGAGGCCCCAAUUUCACUCAUUUGACACACACAAGGGCUAUGCUUCAGGCCAGCACAAAUUAGUCCCAACAAAAGCAGUUAUGCACUACCAUUCUUUUCUCAUCCCCCUCUGUGCUAUCCCUUCCCUCAGGCAAUGUUGGGUGUUUACCCACUCUGUGUUUAACUGCACCUCACGAAGGGCCAAUCAGUUCUUAUUUCCUACUCUUGCUUUAGCCUGAAUGCAUUCCCCUGUGCGGUUCACUGCUCAGCAUACAGAUCUAUAGCUAGCACAGCCUAUAACUAGUGUAAUUUAUGAAAUGCUGAUAUUCUGUUGAGCUAGAGCCAUCUACACUAAAAUUUAUAGAUUUUAUUCUAAUGUAGUUUUGCAUCUUGCUAGAAAACAUCUUGGAGACAGUUGGAUCAAGUAUCAUAGAACCACAGAAUGACUUGGGUUGGAAGGGACCUAAAAGCCCACCCAGUUCCACCCCCCUGCCUUAGGCAGGGCUGCCACCCACCAGCUUAGGCUGCCCAGCGCCCCAUCCAACCUGGCCUUGAAUGCCUCCAGGGAUGGGGCAUCCACAGCCUCUCUGGGCAGCCUGUGCCUCAGUGCCUCACGGCCCUCUGACUAGAGAAUUUCCACCUAAUAUUUAACCUAAAUUUCCUCUCUUUUAGUUUGAAGCCAUUCCCCUUUGUCCUAUUGCUAUCAGGUCGUAUAGAAAGUUGGUCUCCCAGAAAAACACCAUUUUAUCCUCUAUGCAGUAACAACAUUCCUGAUGAGAAUUUAACAGCAUCUGACUUUGCUGAAAUACUGUUAUAAACUAAAUCAGCUCAGUUUCGUUAAAUCCUUAUUAGGACAUUAAACCACCCAGCGUUUAACUCACACUCUGAUUCUGAACUGAAACUCUCACAGAAAAGAUUUCCUAAUGACGUGUUACCAUUUACUUCAAAAUGGCAGAAUGUCCAUACUACUUCAGUUUUUUGUAAACUCAUCAUUAGCAUCUAGAUGUGAGUGCAACUAUCACUGUGUUUUGUAGAGGCAGAUUUCAAAACUUUUACACGUAGGAGUUAAAACUUUAAGUAAGAAUUGGUCAUUUAAGUUCUGCAAUGACUGACUGAUCUAGAUAGCAUUACUGCCACUGAUCCUAUUAUGGAUUUUAAGAUGUGAAUGCCAUGCCGAUCAGAAUUAUGCAACUUAACCCUUGUAAUACAUCCUCUAUAUAUAAUUCUUCUGCCAAAGAUUUGUGGUCCACUACGUGGCACAAGCACUGCUGACCAUCUGUUCCAUUAGAGAUGUCACAGACACAAGUGCAACCGUUUCAAGGAACGGUAAAUAAGCACCCUGGACAGAACGUACACUGGUCCUUUGUUCAGCAGUAGCAUAAGAGACAUACUUCAGAUCUGCUUAGUAAACGUAUUUUCCAAUACAGACUGGACUGCUGCCUCAUCGUAAGUACUCCUGUUAACCACAAAUUUUUAAGGAUAAGAGCUGAUGAACUUGACAUUUCUCAUUUAAAAGUGUCUCUAGAACCAGGGCCAGAGAAUAUUUGCAGGUCCAAGGCCCACAGCUGUCAAAAUGUCAAAGCUGAGCAAUGGCUUUGAGGUAUAAAUUAGUUCUUGUAAGGUGCAACUAAAGAUCUUUUCUUGAGCAUACAGGGCUCGAUUUCCAUUCAUAACUUCUAAACAGUCAAGUCUGUAACAACCAACUGCAGUCACAGAAUGUAUGUCUACCUGUUUGACUUUGUGUGACCCUUGAAGGAAGAGAAGCCUCAGAGCAUGUGGCACUUACAACAUGAAGUGGCAGUUUGUCUGAGGUUUCUGGAUUGUGUCACCUGUGCCUGGUCUGCUUCUGCCCUGUUUGCAUGGGCGGGGCUCAGACAUACUUUUCAAAUGAGCCACUGACAAUGAAACACCUGAUUUUCUGCUUCAAAACACAAAACGAGUAGGCUCUGAAACCGACUGCUGCCCAGCAAAACUCCACUCCACAUCGGUGUUCUUUUAUCUUCCCAAUUUCAGCAGAGACAAAGAGGAUUUCUGAUUCAAGACAUAAACCAACAGGUUUUCUGUCUUCU
ensembl:lncRNA